AAUAGUCCUGUAUGUUAAACGAGAAGACUUUAGAUAUGAUCCAGAGUACCACGGGACACGUGAAACCCUGUGGGAAGCAGGAGGGACCACCCUCCAAGGCUAAAUACUACCUAGUGACCGAUAGCGUAUAGUACCGUGAGGGAAAGGUGAAAAGAACCCCGGGAGGGGAGUGAAAUAGAACCUGAAACCCUGCACUUACAAGCUGUGGAAGCACAUUUCUUGUGUGACCGCGUACUUUUUGUAGAACGGGCCAACGAGUUACGUUAAGUAGCAAGGUUAAGCACUUAAGGUGCGGAGCCGUAGCGAAAGCGAGUUUUAACUGAGCGUUCAGUUACUUGACGUAGACCCGAAACCGGGCGACCUACCCAUGAGCAGGAUGAAGCGAAAGUAAAAUUUCGUGGAGGUCCGAACCCACGAGCGUUGAAAAGCUCGGGGAUGACUUGUGGGUAGCGGUGAAAUUCCAAUCGAGCCCGGAGAUAGCUGGUUCUCCCCGAAAUAGCUUUAGGGCUAGCCUCAAGGUGAGAGAUACGGAGGUAGAGCACUGAAUGUCCUAGGGGGUAUUGCACCUACCGAAGACUAUCAAACUCCGAAUGCCGUCAUCUUAUACUUGGGAGUCAGACUGUGGGUGAUAAGAUUCAUAGUCGAAAGGGCAACAGCCCAGAUCGUCAGCUAAGGUCCCUAAAUGUAAGUUAAGUGGUAAAGGAUGUGGGAUUGCACAGACAACCAGGAUGUUGGCUUAGAAGCAGCCACUCAUUCAAAGAGUGCGUAAUAGCUCACUGGUCGAGUGAUCCUGCGCCGAAGAUUUCCGGGGCUAAAACUUACUACCGAAGCUACGGCAUCAGUAAUGAUGGGUAGGGGAGCUUCCCAUACGGGUUGAAGCAUGACCGUAAGGACAUGUGGACAGUAUGGGAGUGAGAAUGUUGGCAUGAGUAGCGAGAUGUGGGUGAGAAUCCCACAGGCCGUAAACCCAAGGUUUCCAGGGGAAGGUUCGUCCGCCCUGGGUUAGUCGGGACCUAAGCUGAGGCCGAAAGGCGUAGGUGAUGGACAACAGGUUGAUAUUCCUGUACUACCGAUAACCGUUUGAGAGAAGGGAUGACACAGUAGGAUAAGCUAAGCACACUGUUGGUUAUGUGUGCCCAAGCAUUGAGGCAGUCAAAGUAGGCAAAUCCGCUUUGAUAAUGCUGGGAUGUGAUGGGGAGCGAAAUUUAGUAGCGAAGUAGCUGAUUUCACACUGUCAAGAAAAGUCUCUAUCGAGGUUAAAGGUACCCGUACCGCAAACCGACACAGGUGGGUGAGGAGAGUAUCCUAAGGCCAGCGAGAGAACUGUUGUUAAGGAACUCGGCAAAAUGACCCCGUAACUUAGGGAUAAGGGGUGCCACCAUCAGGUGGCCGCAGAGAAUAGGCCCAAGCGACUGUUUACCAAAAACAUAGGUUUCUGCUAAGUCGCAAGACGAUGUAUAGGAGCUGACGCCUGCCCGGUGCUGGAAGGUUAAGGGGAUCUGUUAGAGCAAUCGAAGCAGUGAACUUAAGCCCCAGUAAACGGCGGCCGUAACUAUAACGGUCCUAAGGUAGCGAAAUUCCUUGUCGGGUAAGUUCCGACCCGCACGAAAGGCGUAACGAUUUGGGCACUGUCUCAACAACAGACUCGGUGAAAUUGUAAUUCCGGUGAAGAUGCCGGAUACCUGCGACAGGACGGAAAGACCCCAUGGAGCUUUACUGUAGCUUGACAUUGGGUCUUGGUACUACAUGUACAGGAUAGGUGGGAGGCUUUGAAACCAGGACGCCAGUUUUGGCGGAGCCAUCCUUGGGAUACC
rnacentral:rRNA from 1 species